GUCGGAGUGGCCUAGUCUGGUUAGGGCGUCGGACUCAUAGGGUAUUGUAGUAAUGCCAUAACCUGAGACAUCCGGAGGUCGGGGGUUCGGAUCCCCCCUCCGACA
rnacentral:tRNA from 1 species